CAAACGGCCCUUUUCAGGGCCCCCCUGUAUAUAAAUAAACGUGUAA
rfam:Trachymyrmex zeteki contig9964, whole genome shotgun sequence.